rnacentral:lncRNA from 1 species
UACAAAAAUUAGCCGGGCGUGAUGGCGCACGCCUGUGAUCCCAGCUACUCGGGAGGCUGAGGCACAAGGAUCGCUUUGAGCGCAGGGGUCAAGGCUGCAGAGACAAGGCUGUGAUUGCUCCACUGCAUGCCAGCCUGGGUGACGGGGCGAGCCCUUAUUUCGAAAAUAAUAAUAACGAUUCAAACGUUACUCCUUGGAGUUCUUCCGGUUGGCUUUUGUUUUACCAUUUGAAGCCACAGCUCAGUGGCAUGAAGCACGUUCACGUUGCUGUGCAGCUGUCACCUGCGUCCACCUACAGAAGAUUUCCACCCUCCCAAACAGAAACGCUGCCCCCGUGAAACACGGAUGCCCCGCCCCUCCCCUGGGCAGCCCCGCUCCGCUUGCUGUCCCCAUGGCUUUGAGUGCUCUAGGGACCCCAUGUCAGUGGGACAGACAGGAUCUGCCUGCCCCUCUGUGCCUGGCUCGUGUCACUCAGCGGAAGGUCCUCGGGGCUCAUACACGCGGUGGCACGUGGCAGGAUUUCCUUCCUCGCUAAGGCCUUAUUCUCUUUACGCAUCAUCUGUCAAUGGACACCUGGGACAUUAUUCGGUUUGGGGAGCAGUGGGCUCCCUAAUUUCUUAAGGUCGCGUCUCUGUUUUGCUGUCAGAUACUGGGAGAGCUGGGCUUGACUUUCUUUGCGUUUGCGGGAGGAAUGCCCCCCACGCCGCACGCCGCGCAGCUCGCUGGGCAGAGGCAGAGGCAGAGGCAGCAGCAGUACGACCCCUCCACGGGGCCUCCCGUGCAGAACGCCUCCAGCUUGCACACGCCGGGAGGCUGCCCCAGCCGGGGUCCGCGCUGCAGCGUCUUUGCAGGUCUCCCAGCAGCAGGCGACAGAGCCACAAGCACAGCUCUCAGUCCAGGGAAGGACCCAGCAGCCAAUCGCAGCGCCGCCACCUUUCCUGCCAGGCCGGCGCUCGCCACCAGGCAGGCUGUUUAGCUUGCGCUCCACCUCCCCACCCAGGAGCAGGCAGCUCCCCAGGCCCGCCAGCCUCUGCCUGCGGCACCAUCCCAGGAGAACCAGGUGCAUCAGCGCAUUGCGGAGCUGAGGAAAGCAGGUCUGUGGUCCCAGAGGCGUCUGCUGAAGCUGCAGGAGGCCCACGACCCAAGUCCCACUGGGACUAUCUGCUGGAGGAGAUGCAGUGGAUGGCCACAGACUUUGCCCAGGAGAGGUGGAAGGUGGCCUCUGUGAAGAAGAUGGUCAGAGCUGUGGCCCGGCAGCUGCAGGACAGGACGCGCAGGGAGGCCGGGGCCAGGAGGGAGGAGCCGAGCAGGCUGAGGCAGACGUCACCUGUACUACCAGAGAAAUCGAGCGUCCCUGGUCUAGUACUGCGCAGGUAAAGAUUCCAGCAUCUUGGAAGCAAGUGCUCCACUGGAAAAUAAAAGCCACGUGGAGCACUUGAUUAGACUCCAGAAACAGAAACUGCAGCUGCUCCCACCACCCCCACCACCACAGGCCCUGCCCGGGGCACAGCCAACCACACAAGUGCAAGUGCAGCCGUCACCCGCCUACCACAGCAGAGCCCCCAGCUCACCACAGUCACGGCCCCGAGACCCAGAGCCCUGUUGAUGGGCACCACCAUGGCCAACCUCCAGACUCGAGUUUCCACCUCCCACCUGCAAGGCCCAAGACUGACGUCAGCGCUGACGUACCAGAUGGCCCAGGUUGCUGUGGCCACGCCCCCUGUGGUGUCUGUCCUGGCAGUUGUGGUGCUGUCAGCCAGGGUCACAGUGCUUCCAUCAACGCAACGGGAUCAGUGUUGUGAUAAGGCAGCUGCAAAAAGCGGCAGUUGCAAAAGAUGGUGAAGAACUCAAGCUGAAGAGGUGUCUGCUGAAUUUUGUUGCUUCGGUAGGAGCUUUUCACCAUCAGUUUUUAGAAAGUACGCAUGACUCUCCUUCUGUUGAUAUCUCUCUUGAUUUGGCAAAGAGUACAAGGAGGACCGCAAAGGGUUGCCAUAUAAUCAUCACAAAUAGAUCCAGGGAUGCCAUAUCACGUCCUGUAGAGAGUCCUCAUUGCGACGCUUGCUCCACACAGCAUUCAUUCAUAUCAGCUGCAACUUGACACCCAAGGCACGGGAAACAAAACGUGCCACAGAGGCAGACUCCACAGUCGCUGAAGCAGUCACACAUGCCUGUCUGCCAGUUGGAGUUCUGGGGUGCCGGACCGAGACCGACUCCCACAACGACCAUCGGCGCCUCAUGUGUUAAUUUUUUAAGACACCUAAUUAGAGCCUCAUUCCUUGCACCUCCCCCUUUUAAGCAAAUGGAGCAGAGGCCGCUGUACCCCCCAGCAAGAGCUGCUUGCCUCUAUUAAGGGGAGAUGCGGCAUGGGCGUUAUUUCUCCUUUUUAAGGCAGCAGGCAUUUCCUUUACCAUCAUUGCCAGGCAGGUUACUCCUCUGAGCAAAUCAGCGGCAAUGAUGAGUGUGAGAUGCAGAUCCUUGUCCAUGCGCACUUCGUGUGUCCUGCGUGCUGUCUCUCUGCUGUCACCACAGGGGGCCAGAUUGGCUGUGCAGCCUCUGCACAUGCAGCAGCUCCGAAAGCUGAAACACCACCAGCAGUAAAAAGCUGUGCAGCCCUCAGCCGCUCCAGGCCUGCUGCUGCACAGCGGAAGGUAAGUGGCCGCUGGGCUUUGUGGGAGCUGCAUCUCACACUCAUCAUUCAGGGCCCUUAGGCCAGAGUGGGGCUGGACUGAGCCCCUUCCUUUUGGAGGCAGCCGUUAAACAGAGCUGAGGAGGCUCCCUGCAUGGGCUUCUGGAGGUGGGGAGGGGCCGAGUGUCAAGGAACUCUGACCCUGUAAUUUUUACAUAUAUUUGCUCUCUAGGGGAGAGCUUGCUUUGCUGUAUAGUAUAAUUUUUCAAAAAUAUUUACAAUGAUUUCUGUGAAAAAUCACUCUGACAAGGACUUCUAUUUCUGGUAAUAUGGUAGAUGAGAGAACCUGAAAAUCUAUCUCAACAAAACAUCUAAAAAUGCCAGAUUUUCAAAAAGUGCCAGAUAAAAUAUAUAAAACCGUGAAUGAGUCUGCAGGAUAGUGAGUCUAGAAACCAGGCGAGGGCUGAAGUCUAAGGAGGUAGUUCUGUGCUAAAGACACUCUAUGGCCUGGGUCCCCAUGGACCCAGAUGACCUAGAACUUUGAGGUAAGUUUGGGGAGCAGUCUGGAGAAGCCUUGGGCCCAGGGAGGGGCAGAACCAAAUUGGAGACCCCCAUAUAAGGCUGGGCUCACAGAGGGAUACAGCAAACACUACCAGGAAAUGAUGAAGUGGGCAAACUACUACUCUAAGCUUCACUGCAGAAACAGUAUCUCACUUGGCCAUGGCUGUGGAUGGAACAUCUUUAAAAAGUCUCUCCUAUAAAUUUAUGGCCCCUGGCUAGCACUCUCCAUCACAGGUAUAGGGCCAAAGUUCAUAUUAUUUACAUGUUCAAAAGAACUGCAAACUGUGACUUUUAAUUGCAAGCAUAUCUGGAGCUAUAGUGCCCCCAGGCCUCUGGUAGAAAGAAAUGUAUGUCCUUGCAGGAGGAACCCCCAACCCAGGCCUCAAGGAAUUCCAGCCAGCAGGAUCCCUAGACUAUAAGCUCAUAGUGGAAAAUCACAGCACACACAAGAGAAGGGGCCUCAGAAGUUAUGGCCAAAAGAAGCACACCUGCAAAGACUCAGAUGUUAGAAUAGGAAAUGCAAAUAUGUUUAAUGUGUUUGAAGAAACAAAGGAGAAGCUAAAAAGCAUAAAUAAGCAAGAGAGUAUCAGAGGCUAAGCAGAUAAUAAAUGAACCAAAUAGAACCUCUAAAAAUGAAAAAUGUAAUAAUUGAAAUUCAAAACUUAAUGGAAGUAAUCUUGAUCCCUACCUCACACCCCAUAGAAAAUUAACUCAAUGAAUCAUAGACCCAAACAUGAAAUUCAAAACUAUGAAACAUAGGAAAAAAGUUUUGUGACUAUAGGUUAAGUAAACAUUUCUUAGAUAUGACACCAAAAAUAGAGCCUAUAAAAGGAAAAAAAUUGGCAAGUCAUACUUUAAUAAAAUUAAACCUUCUUGCUAUGUGAAAACCAUUGUUUAGAGAAUGAAAAGACAAGUUACCAGGAGAAAACCUUUGCCAGUCAUGUAGCUGAUUAAGGACGUGUAACCAGAACAUACAAAAAACUGUCAAAGCUCACUAAUACAAAAACAACUUAUUUUGUACAGUGGGCAACAGAUUUGAGCAGACACUCCACCAAAGAAGCUCUCUAGGUGGCAAAUAAGCACUGUCCUCUGGGAAAUGCAAAUAAAAAUCACAAUGAGAAACUACUGCACACCCGUGAGAAUGCCUU